rnacentral:rRNA from 1 species
UACAUGGGGUGCAAACGUUGCUCGGAAUUAUUGGGCGUAAAGCGCACGUAGGCGGUUCGUUAAGUCGGAUGUGAAAGCCCUCGGCUCAACUGAGGAAGUGCACCCGAAACUGGCGAGCUUGAGUACGAAAGAGGAUCGCGGAAUUCCCGGUGUAGAGGUGAAAUUCGUAGAUAUCGGGAAGAACACCCGUGGCGAAGGCGGCACUCUGGGACGGUACUGACGCUGAGACGCGAAAGCGUGGGGAGCGAACAGG